GCCAGGUGUGGUGGUGGGUGCCUGUAAUCCCAGCUACUUGGGAGGCUGAGGCAUGAGAAUCACUUGAACCCAGGAGGUGGAGGUGCAGUGAGCUGAGAUCAUGCCACUGCACUCCAGCCUGGGUGACAGAGUGAGACCCUGCCUCAA
ensembl:misc_RNA Metazoa_SRP Metazoan signal recognition particle RNA